rnacentral:lncRNA from 1 species
UUUCUCCUUCACAUUAUUUUGUGGUUUGGAGGGUGUUACACAAUAAAUUGCCUACGAAUGAUAAUCUUUAAAAGUGGGGUUGUAUUAUGGUAUAUGUAUGUAUGCUUUGUAUGGAAGUGUAAGAGAGAACUUCUCAUCUUUUUCUCUAGUGCAGAUUUGUUGUGGUUAUCUGGAAUUGGCUUGGGGAUUUAUUUGAGAUUGUUUUUUUAUUGUUC